UUCAAGAUAGGUAUAAUAAUAAAAUACAUAGGAAGAAAAUAAAAUUUUUAACAAUGCGAAAUUGUUCUAGAAUUAUGCAUGUUUUUCGAUUUCGAGAUGUUUCUAAAGAGUACCUUCUAAAUUCGAAUUCAUAUUAUGAAGUUCACGACAUAAUGCUGCUACCAAAAACAAUGUCGACAAAGCUCCGAUCAAUAUGACAAACGAUGUCUCCGAAGUUGUUUGAUGUGAUAUUUUGUUUCGAGCUGGAGAACCAUCCAUCUUAGCCCGGACCGCCCACUCGGGAAGUAAUUAAUUAACCCCCAAACUUGUUUCCAGGCCCGCCCGAAUAUAUUGUUGGAAGAACAACUUUACGUGUGUGUGGAACGUAUUGUUUAAAAUAUCGAACUGUGAUCAACUAAAAUCAAAAGUGAGGAGAAAAUCGCCGUAUGUGGGAGUUGAACCUCACUAAAAACUCUUACCGCUCAGAGCCGGCGCCCUACCCCGGACCGGGCCGGAGCCCAGCCGGAGCUAUUGAGACCCCGGGACAAGGUUUACGCAGAGCAUAGUACAUCCAUCCCGAAAGUUUUAGUCUAGGCUGUUACCGGCAUGUUUUUAGUAUUGCACAUAAAAAUACUAAUGUGUAUUGCUAAAUGGAUAGAAAAAGCUUAUUUAUUUAUUUAAAUUGCAAAUCAUAUGUUCCCAUGUAAAUUUUAUUACAAAUCGGAUCUGCAUUUAAAAUAUAUCCAUUUUGGAAUUAAAAUUUUGAGUAAAAAUAGAGCUACAA